UNGACCUCGAAUCAGGUAGGACUACCCGCUGAA
rnacentral:rRNA from 2 species